GCACUAAGAGGUGCGGAACAGAGGAGCGGGGAGGUGAGAGCAGUGGCAGAGCAGCCAUCGAGGUCAGAGGGAGAGGAGGUGCCCUUGUAGCCCGUGGUGCGAAGGCAGCCUGAGCCCUGCAGCGCCCGGAGGAACCCGGUGGGCAGCCCAUGGACCUGCAGUCCCUGAAGGACCGCGGUGGAGCAGAUGCGGAGCUGCAGGCGGGGACGACCCCGUGCCAGAGGAGGGAGUCAUUUCUUCUCUGGUUAGGCAUAUUUCCCUUGUCAGCAGAACCUGAGAGCAGCAGGAAACUGCAUCACCUGCUUUGAUGUUGGUUGUGGCAUAGGGAUCCCCUCACAUCAGCAGACAACUCGUCUGGCCAAUUUGCUGAUGCUCCUCUCUCACAUCAGACAUGCAAGGUUCUUUAAUGGCAGAAGACCUGAAUAUCAUGUCAGCAGCUGACUAUUAGUUCCUGGCAGAAAGGUUUGCACGGGCAUUUGUGACAACCUGGCAAUGAAGUAAUGGUCAGAGUUGGCUGACAUCUACAGAGAUAGAAAGUGAAAUGAGCUCAAUCUGAAAGUAAUUGCUUUCAAAAUACAAAGUGAAGAUAGCAGAGGGAGAGAAGAGAGUGUGCAUCUGUCUGUGUGCAGUGAGGGGCAGGAAGGAUCCAUCUUUUGUCUCUUCUAAGAUACUGUACACUAUGAAAUAAUUAAUUAUAUGUCAUUACAUCAUUUGUCUUUAUCAAGAAUAGUUCAAAUAAUUCUGUUCAUCUAGAAAAUACGUGCAUUAUAAGCCAUUUCCACCCAAAGUGACUUUCAUACUUCAAAGGUGGUAUAAAAAGACCACUCAAACCCUACAUAUAAAACAAAACAAAUCUGCAUCCAUUUGUUGAGUGAUUACUUUACAUUGUCCCCCAUAAGCUUCACAGUGUCUGCCAGCCCAUCCUUGUUAGCAAGAUUGAGGUCCAGCAGCAGACCUGUUCUUGGGUCCUCUACCACUUGGAAAAAGAAUUUGCUGUCAAUGCAUUCUAGGAAUUUCCUGGACUGCUGGUCCUUGCUGUGAUGUCCCUCCAGCAGAUACUGGGGUGGCUGAAAUGCCCCAUGAGGACCAGGGCCUGGGGCCAUAAAGCUGCUCCCAUCUGUCAAUAGGAAGCCUCAUGUGCUCCCUGCCUGAUCAGGGGGUGUGUAUCAGACCCCCACUCUGAUACCACCAGUCCCAGCCUUAUCUUUAACCCUGAUCCCUCUGCAAAGUAUUCCCCAUGAAAAGUAAAUUGCUGUUCCCCAGAUAGGGUUCCCACAAGAAUAUGGACAGAUGGAGCCUCACAAACAAAGCCAUAAAGAGAUACUCUAAACAAGUUACUGAAAACUAAAGACAAAGGUUCCCCAUCCCCUCGGGGCCCCUGGUCCCACACCAGCCCCCCCUCAUUUAGAGAAGUUCUGUUUCUUCUCUCUAGUCAGAGGUUCUGUCAGUCCCAUUUGGUGACUUGACAACCUCCUCCCAAAUGCCACUCCUGUCUGCUUUCCUGCUCUCCCUUAGGAUUGCAGGGGCAAAUAAUAUGGAUUUCACAAAGUCAUGCCUGUGUCAUCUAACCACAUUGAUGUUAAGGUACAGUCUGUAUAUAGGAAGAUUUCAAAACACAAGAAAAUAUAAAACAAGACCUUGUGCCCUCAAGAAGUGAGCUUGCUCAUACCCAUGAGAUGGCAGUCUGUCAGGAACAGAGCUCUCAGCAGACCUCUUGGGGAGUGGGUUAGGUUGCCAAAUGGGUAUCAUCUUCAUACCCUUCAGAAGAGUCUCCAACCACUUGUCUCACAGUGCUUCAGGUUUCCACUGCUUGCUGUAUGCUGAGCCCACUGGGCUC